GAUGAACGCUGGCGGCGUGCCUAAUACAUGCAAGUCGAGCGAACGGACGAGAAGCUUGCUUCUCUGAUGUUAGCGGCGGACGGGUGAGUGACACGUGGAUAACCUACCUAUAAGACUGGGAUAACUUCGGGAAACCGUAGCUAAUACCGGAUAAUAUUUUGAACCGCAUGGUUCAAAAGUGAAAGACGGUCUUGCUGUCACUUAUAGAUGGAUCCGCGCUGCAUUAGCUAGUUGGUAAGGUAACGGCUUACCAAGGCAACGAUGCAUAGCCGACCUGAGAGGGUGAUCGGCCACACUGGAACUGAGACACGGUCCAGACUCCUACGGGAGGCAGCAGUAGGGAAUCUUCCGCAAUGGGCGAAAGCCUGACGGAGCAACGCCGCGUGAGUGAUGAAGGUCUUCGGAUCGUAAAACUCUGUUAUUAGGGAAGAACAUAUGUGUAAGUAACUGUGCACAUCCUGACGGUACCUAAUCAGAAAGCCACGGCUAACUACGUG
rnacentral:rRNA from 1 species